UACGAAGGGGGCUAGCGUUGCUCGGAAUGACUGGGCGUAAAGGGCGCGUAGGCGGAUGGCUUUGUCGGGCGUGAAAUUCCAGGGCUCAACCUUGGGGCUGCGUUCGAGACGGGCGAUCUUGAGUUCGGCAGGGGAGACUGGAAUUCCUGGUGUAGCGGUGAAAUGCGCAGAUAUCAGGAGGAACACCGGUGGCGAAGGCGGCUCUCUGGGACGGUACUGACGCUGAGACGCGAAAGCGUGGGGAGCGAACAGG
rnacentral:rRNA from 1 species